rfam:Dipodomys ordii contig_47813, whole genome shotgun sequence.
GGGAAGGUGGCUCAGUGAUAAGAGCGCUUGCCUUGCAUGCGUGAGGCCCUGGGUUCGAUUCCCCAGCACCCCA